rnacentral:rRNA from 1 species
UUUAAGCAUAUUAAUAAGCGGAGGAAAAGAAACUAACAAGGAUUCCCUUAGUAGCUGCGAGCGAACAGGGAAAAGCUCAGCAUAAAAUCUUGUAACUAGACAGUUAUCAAGAGAUGUUAUGUUUAGGAAGUUUUUUCUAUCCUAUAAUCUACACUUGGUCCAAGUCCACCUUGAAUGGGGCAUUAACCAUAGAGGGUGCCAGUCCCGUAGUGACAAGUGUCUACAAAUGAUUAUAGGUAAAACUUUCCUUAGAGUCGGGUUGCUUGUAAAUGCAGCUCUAAGUGGGUGGUAAACUCCAUCUAAAGCUAAAUAUACCCACGAGACCGAUAGCGAACAAGUAC